UGUGGACGCCAGUCUGCAUGGAGCCGACCUUGAAAUACCACCCUUUAAUGUUUGAUGUUCUAACGUGGACCCGUGAUCCGGGUUGCGGACAGUGUCUGGUGGGUAGUUUGACUGGGGCGGUCUCCUCCUAAAGAGUAACGGAGGAGCACGAAGGUUGGCUAAUCCUGGUCGGACAUCAGGAGGUUAGUGCAAUGGCAUAAGCCAGCUUGACUGCGAGCGUGACGGCGCGAGCAGGUGCGAAAGCAGGUCAUAGUGAUCCGGUGGUUCUGAAUGGAAGGGCCAUCGCUCAACGGAUAAAAGGUACUCCGGGGAUAACAGGCUGAUACCGCCCAAGAGUUCAUAUCGACGGCGGUGUUUGGCACCUCGAUGUCGGCUCAUCACAUCCUGGGGCUGAAGUAGGUCCCAAGGGUAUGGCUGUUCGCCAUUUAAAGUGGUACGCGAGCUGGGUUUAGAACGUCGUGAGACAGUUCGGUCCCUAUCUGCCGUGGGCGCUGGAGAACUGAGGGGGGCUGCUCCUAGUACGAGAGGACCGGAGUGGACGCAUCACUGGUGUUCGGGUUGUCAUGCCAAUGGCACUGCCCGGUAGCUAAAUGCGGAAGAGAUAAGUGCUGAAAGCAUCUAAGCACGAAACUUGCC
rnacentral:rRNA from 1 species